GAUGAACGCUAGCGGCAGGCCUAACACAUGCAAGUCGAGGGAGAGGUUAUCUUCGGGUAACCAAAACCGGCGCACGGGUGCGUAACGCGUAUACAAUCUGCCUUUCACAUAGGGAUAGCCCGAAGAAAUUUGGAUUAAUACCUAAUGGUAUAUAGGAGCGGCAUCGCUUUUAUAUUAAAGCUACGGUGGUGAAAGAUGAGUAUGCGUUCUAUUAGCUAGUUGGAGAGGUAACGGCUCCCCAAGGCGACGAUAGAUAGGGGUUCUGAGAGGGAUGUCCCCCACACUGGUACUGAGAUACGGACCAGACUCCUACGGGAGGCAGCAGUGAGGAAUAUUGGACAAUGGUCGGAAGACUGAUCCAGCCAUGCCGCGUGCAGGAUGAAGGUCCUAUGGAUUGUAAACUGCUUUUGUAAGGGAAGAAUAAGGAGUACGUGUACUUUGAUGACGGUACCUUACGAAUAAGCAUCGGCUAACUCCGUGCCAGCAGCCGCGGUAAUACGGAGGAUGCGAGCGUUAUCCGGAAUCAUUGGGUUUAAAGGGUCCGUAGGCGGGCUGAUAAGUCAGAGGUGAAAGCGCUUAGCUCAACUAAGCAACUGCCUUUGAAACUGUCAGUCUUGAAUGAUUGUGAAGUAGUUGGAAUGUGUAGUGUAGCGGUGAAAUGCUUAGAUAUUACACAGAACACCGAUAGCGAAGGCAUAUUACUAACAAUUUAUUGACGCUGAUGGACGAAAGCGUGGGGAGCGAACAGG
rnacentral:rRNA from 1 species